AUAUAUACCUCUAUACCUAUACAUUAUUCUCCAAAAGAAGUGUCACGUGGCUGUGUUUCCUUUAGUUUUAGGCUUCACAUUAUGAAACCAAUCUUUCGGCUUUCCUCCAUCCAUAACGUCUAAUUAAUGAUUCACCCAUCUUAACCCAACCUUUCUCAUUCCCUCCAUCCAUAAUAUCUAAUUAAUGGUUCACCCAUCUUAACCCAACCUUUCUCAUUCCCUCCAUCCAUAACGUCUAAUUAAUGGUCCAUCAACUUUAAUCCAACAUUUCGCCUUUCCUCCAUACAUAACGUUUAAUUAAUGAUCCACCCAUUUUAACCCUAAUCUAUACCGUAAAUUAUAAAAAUCCACAAAAGCCCUCUUCUCUCCUUCUCUACUUUCUCUUCAUCCUCCAUGAGCUCCGAGGCCAAGAUCGAGCAUGUUUUGUGGACGAAGUAUGAGUUUGCACGCUGCAUCGCCGAGCUUGGCGAUGCCAUCUUCAUCAAAUCUUGCCUUCCUCCAAUUUCAUAAGUUCUUUUAAAAGAUUUAUAUAUUCUUUAUGUUGUAGUGUUAAAUUUUUUAGAUAGUUUUUUUCAGUUUUUCCAAAUUCUUUUUAUUUGUAUAGUAUUCGAACUGAUGUAUUUGUUGUGUUGAAUGUUUAUUACUUUUU
rnacentral:lncRNA from 1 species